GAGUUGUUCUGUGUAUUGGGUGGAGGAGGGUGAAUCCGAGAGGAGGGAGGAGGGUGAAUCCGAGAGGAGGAAGGAGGAUGAAGAGCCUAGCCUGCGCCCCACCUCUGAUUGUGCCGGGAAAAAGUGUCCGAACGCCUCGUGGACUGCAGCGGGGGAAAUGUCCCUUAAAAGUGCGACGAAGUGGGGAAGAAGGUGUAAUUACUAUUAUCAGCAUCUAGAAAGCAUCAUGAAUUUGCUGGAGUACUUCCUAGCACUGACCUCCUUCAUUCUGCGUUGUUCUUACUGGAUCUUUCCAUCAGCCAACAAUAUGGAAGUACCAAUACAAGGUCAAAUCAUUCCUGGAUUCAUCUGGAGUUGCUUAAAAGUUAAAUCAUUGGAAUUUUUGAUGAUACCUUUUCUAUAUGGAUUACAAUUUGAUCGCUGGGAAUUCUCCACCUUAAAGAAGACGCAAUUUCACCAUGUUACCCAGGCUGGUCUGGCACUCCUUGGCUCAAGCAAUAGCAGUCUGCCUGCUGCAGCUCUCCAAGUGCUGGGAUUACAGUACCCUCAGGUGACUACAGAUGUGUUAACACCCAGCAUGUUCCGGUAGGAGACUUUCUGGAUGGGGAAGAUUUCCAGGUGUGAAUCAUGGCAAUACAGUGAAAGACAGUGAUUUACUGCUUUUGAGGGCGUGCAUGUAUAUGAUUAACGGAUGGAAGUGCAGGACUCCAAGAUUUACUUCCUUCCCUUUCCAGCAGAAUUACCUGAGACGAGUGAGUAAUGGGAUAAUUUGUAAUACCACAGGCCCCUUUUCAAGGGACCAGUAAUCAAAACAGGAAGAUGAAACUGAGAAGAUUUCAACUGGAAGAAUACAACUUUUGAUAAUUUCUGGAUAUACCUCUUAAUUGCAAGCAGGAGAGUCUUCAGAGUUUUCCUGUGGUGGUGGUUGUUGUUGUUGUUGUUGUUG
rnacentral:lncRNA from 10 species